rnacentral:lncRNA from 1 species
CAUUGUCUUUGUAACUUUUUGUGUAUCUAAAAGGGUUGUCAUUUUUAAACUUAUUAAAACGAGAGAAAAGGCAGCAGCUGGCUGGGCACGGAAGCACAGGAGAACGUGUGAAUUUGAGGCCAGCAUGGUCUACAUAACAAGUUCCAGUCUCCUCAAAAUAAACCAAAAGUAAAAGCAAGCGACUAGCCCUGGUGAUGAUUCAGCCCCAUUCCUGGGUCAGGGAAGGCGAACAAAGCAGCCAUAGAUGAAGAGGAAGCAUGCUGGAGGCACACACAACUAUCACCUGACUAACAAGAAGCAGGGUGAUUACACUCCGCAUCUCACUGCUCUCUAACUGGGUCCCCAGGGAGACAAUAAAGACCUGUGAAAUUUACACCCCAAUCUGAACUGAGUCCAAAUCACCAAUUGCCAGUGAACCCUCCCGGCAUUAGACAAGAAAUCUAAACCAGAGCAUUUCCCUGUUUUCAGAGAGGUGUGGGUUUUACUUCUCUUCACUUCUCUCUCUUAGUUUCCUUGAGAACAACUAUGAGGGAGAAGGAAACAUUGGAAUCAGAUGGAAGGAAUAAAACUUGAGAUAAAUGGCACAGAACCAAACACAGGGCUGGAGCUGAAGCAAAUCCUGGCUGUGAUCGGAAUUCGGGCUUUUCCUACAUGAAUGAAGAACACUUCUUUGCCAAAUGCAUGGAUAUGAAACUAUGCACAAUGAAUGAACAUAGGAAACCCCAGGAAUUAAAGUGUUCCAAACCUGUAAUGAAGCUGCGAAGAGAAAAUGCCAUGAUGUGAAAAAUAAAUAGGCAAAAACCCCAUCUAUCCCAUAGUCUCCCCUGAGAGCCUAGGAGUGCCAGCUGCCUUUGCAGUCAAGAGCAGAUUCCAGCCCACAAGCCUUCUCGUGUGGACACCAAGCCUGGCUGAGCUGAAUCUCCACAUAAGGCUGCCGCUCUCUGUCGACAACACCAUAAUGAGACAGCCGCUUCUCCCUGUUGCUACCCGAGGCUGGGUGCCGCCAUCUGAGGAGCAUACUGCAGGGCUCACCACCUCUCCAGAGACAACUCCGCCUGUGUGCUCAGUGUUUGAGAGGAAGUACAAGACACCAGAGGGUGCUUGUUCAGGUAUACAUUUCAGGUGAAAUUUUUGAGUCCCAGGUGAGGCUAUAGCCUUGAACAUGGGAUUCUUCUGGGAGUAAUUUAUCAUUUAAUGCACAGAGACUGGAAAUGAAAGUGCCCUGCACUUACAUAUUGUAAAGGCCAAACACAUUCUCUUUUUAGUCUUAAAAUUUU